GCCAGCAGCUAGCUCCCUGCAGCUCUCACAUAGUCGCCUGCUGAAUCUAAACAAGGCUGCACCUGGUUAGGAACUGGAUGGGAGACCACAUGGGAAAACAAGGUUGUUGCCAGUA
rnacentral:rRNA from 1 species